UGGGGAAUUUUGGACAAUGGGGGAAACCCUGAUCCAGCCAUCCCGCGUGUGCGAUGAAGGCCUUCGGGUUGUAAAGCACUUUUGGCAGGAAAGAAACGUCGCGGGUUAAUACCCCGCGAAACUGACGGUACCUGCAGAAUAAGCACCGGCUAACUACGUGCCGGCAGCCGCGGUAAUACGUAGGGUGCAAGCGUUAAUCGGAAUUACUGGGCGUAAAGCGUGCGCAGGCGGUUCGGAAAGAAAGAUGUGAAAUCCCAGAGCUUAACUUUGGAACUGCAUUUUUAACUACCGGGCUAGAGUGUGUCAGAGGGAGGUGGAAUUCCGCGUGUAGCAGUGAAAUGCGUAGAUAUGCGGAGGAACACCGAUGGCGAAGGCAGCCUCCUGGGAUAACACUGACGCUCAUGCACGAAAGCGUGGGGAGCAAACAGGAUUAGAUACCCUGGUAGUCCACGCCCUAAACGAUGUCAACUAGCUGUUGGGGCCUUCGGGCCUUGGUAGCGCAGCUAACGCGUGAAGUUGACCGCCUGGGGAGUACGGUCGCAAGAUUAAAACUCAAAUGAAUUGAC
rnacentral:rRNA from 1 species